AUUGAACGCUGGCGGCAUGCCUUACACAUGCAAGUCGAACGGCAGCGGGGGAGAAGCUUGCUUUUCCUGCCGGCGAGCGGCGAACGGGUGAGUAAUACAUCGGAACGUGCCCUGUAGUGGGGGAUAACUAGUCGAAAGAUUAGCUAAUACCGCAUACGACCUGAGGGUGAAAGUGGGGGACCGCAAGGCCUCAUGCUAUAGGAGCGGCCGAUGUCUGAUUAGCUAGUUGGUGGGGUAAAGGCCUACCAAGGCGACGAUCAGUAGCUGGUCUAAGAGGACGAUCAGCCACAAUGGGGCUAGGGCACGGCCCAGACUCCUACGGGAGGCAGCAGUGGGGAAUUUUGGACAAUGGGCGAAAGCCUGAUCCAGCAAUGCCGCGUGUGUGAAGAAGGCCUUCGGGUUGUAAAGCACUUUUGUCCGGAAAGAAAUGGCUCUGGUUAAUACCUGGGGUCGAUGACGGUACCGGAAGAAUAAGGACCGGCUAACUACGUGCCAGCAGCCGCCGUAA
rnacentral:rRNA from 1 species